rnacentral:rRNA from 1 species
UACAGAGGGGGCAAGCGUUGUUCGGAAUUACUGGGCGUAAAGGGCGCGUAGGCGGCCUUCUAAGUCGAACGUGAAAUCCCCGGGCUCAACCCGGGAACUGCGUCCGAUACUGGAAGGCUUGAAUCCGGGAGAGGGAUGCGGAAUUCCAGGUGUAGCGGUGAAAUGCGUAGAUAUCAGGAAGAACACCCGUGGCGAAAGCGGCUCUCUGGGACGGUACUGACGCUGAGACGCGAAAGCGUGGGGAGCGAACAGG